CUAGUAGUAUUUUCUGAUUUAUUGCUAUUGGCUCACAGUAAGACUAAUAUGUCUGAUCAUUCAGAGCCUGCCAUCUCCCAAUAAUUACGAGCAUGGCUCAUUUCCACUAUUGCUGAGUCAAUUCCCAAGGGGCUAGCAGCCUUUCAUGAACAGACUUCUACCGAAGCUAAUCCCACUAUGCACCUUCUCUCUGGUCCUUCG